CUCAGAUUUCUGUCUGCCUCUCAUUGGCAAACAUGACAUUUCAGCAAUUUCUCUAAAGAGGAAUGACUGGGGGGUAUGUACAGCAGGCAUCAUGUAAGAAAAACUCACACCUCACGACAUAUUUGUUUGAUUUAUUCAGCAGACUUCAGCAAAGGAAAGAUGUGAAAGCAACCCUUGAUUGUUGAUUUUUUGUUCAUUCUGAAAAUCACAUCGCCAGAUCCAACACCUUUUUAUCCCAAUCACCAGUACAAGCCACCCGUAUCAGUGUACACUGUGGCUGACCGAUCCAUAGUGAUGCUUUGAGCACAAGGAAGGACUUUCUGGAAUCUACUUAUCUGACCAAGAAAGCUUCUUUCCAAAAGAAAUGCAAUUGUCUUGAGACUUCUUCCCUAGGGAUCUGAUCAACUAACCAGAAAAGAGCAACCACCAGAGAAGAGACUUGCCAUUGUCUAUUGUACGUGACUUAACCCUAAGCUACCUCUGCUGCUACUAUCAGUGGAUGUAGCCUUCAAGUGUUAUUCAUGGGAUUUGUGGAGCUACUGAACAAUAGAAAAAUCUGUUGUCAACUCUGAUUACAAGAAUGUAAUGAUUCUUCCUAAAAUAAAAGGAGAAAUCUUUCUCUUUAGCAACAUGGGAGAAGAUGAAAACAAAAAUACAGCUACUGUUCUGAACAAAGAGAAGAAAAGCCAUUUCAAGGGUUAACAAGUAAAGUUUUUAUUCAGCAAGCAAUUUCAGAGCAGAUGGGUUGGGAGAGGAUAAAGGAAGAAAGCAAAGUCUUUGUAGAAACCAUUUGGUUAAGACUUAGUUCUUGAAACAAACUGAACAAUAGCAGGGACUCAACAGUAAGUCUUCUAACAGGAUGAAAUGAGGCUCCAUCACAGACAGCAUACGUUUGUAUACUGGAGUGCACCAGGAGAAGCAGAACUUGGAAGAUAUGGUUUCUCACAGCUUCCUUAACUCAGAGGGUGAUUUCAAUAAUUCUCAAAAAGUUCUUGCUGGCUGGGUGCAGUGGCUCACACCUGUAAUCCCAGCACUUUGGGAGGCCAUGGCCGGCCUCCCAAAUGUCAGGAGUUCAAGUCCAUCCUGGCCAACAUGGUGAAACCCUGUCCCUACUAAAAAUACAAAAAGUAGCUGGGCAUGGUGGUGGGCACCUGUGAUCCCAGCUACUUGGGAGGCUGAGCCAGGAGAAUUGCUUAACCGGGACCCCGGAGGCGGAGGUUGCAGUGAGCCGAGAUCACACCACUGCACUCCAGCCUGGGCUAUAGAGCAAGACUCCAUCUCAACAACAACAAAAAAAAGUUCUUGCCGUGUUCACAAAUUCAUCCAGUAUUUUUCAGAUCCUGAAUUCGCAGAAUGGCUGACAUCAGCCUGUCUGAAGACCCCCACCAAAGACCUGACUCAGCACAGGAAUGCAGUUUCGUCUUCCUGUCCCAUAAUUUCACCCCUCACUUCUCAACCAAUCAGUGAUCCCCGCAAUACCCAUCACCUGGCCAGGCCCUUUAAAAUCCCUAACCACAAACCCCUCAGGGAGGCAGAUUUGAGGUUUCCUCCGGUCUCUUCAAUUGACUGCAUGAUGAUUGAUUAUUAAACUCUUUCUCUGCUGCAACCCCCAGUGUCUCCAUAUAUUGACUCACUGCAUCGGGCAAAGGACUCGUUAUGGUUAUAGUAUGCAGCCAGUCCUGACUGGCUCUUCAGGGAAGAAGCUGAGGGAAUACUUUUCCUAAACCUCCCUCUGUUUCUUCACUCUGAUAUUCUGCUGGUCCUUCCUAUUGACUGAACCCAGCCAGAAUGUCAAGAGGCAAAGGAGCUUGUUGAUCCAGUUCAUGGAGGUCAGCCUGCUGCAAGAUAGGGAUAAGGGGAAACUAGAGAUCACUAACGUGAUUCAUAUUAGGAUACCUCCUUCAUAAGCUUUAAUGGUUUAAAUCUGAGUGUACUUGUAGUACAUCUGAACAUAGUAUUUAUUCUACCCAAAAUGCCUCUUAAUUCUCCAGUCUUCUAAGUCACAGCAACCUCCCCUCUGCUAACCCAAGCUCCAUCUGGCUAAAGGUCUAGUUCAAGACUUAAAUCAAGUGUUCCCUCCCUGAGAAGGUAGGGUCUGUUUGUGUCUAUUCCUGAUGACUAGCUAAACCAGUUAGAAUUAAGAUCGGCUGCAUAAAGAAAAACACCUAAAAGGAGAAUGGCUUAAAUGUGAUAGAAGUUUAUUCCUUACUUAUGUAAAUUUGAUCUACUUAGAAAAACCUACAAAUCUCAAAUAUUUGUCCUGUAGAAAAUGAAUGAACUCACCCCAUGUACUAGGAUCCCAGGUUGAAGCAGAGUUGGUCUACGAAGCUCAUAGUCAGCUCACAACUUGAAGAUGGAGAAAAAAAACUAGUUUCUACAGGCUUGUAAUAAUGUCCAAAGAAUAAUAUAAAUUAAAAAAUGUAAUAAGAAUAAUGGUGGGAGAAAAGGACUUGAGAAACAUUGCAAACACAUUUUUUUAAUAGUAUACAAGAAAUGUAGAGAAAAGGGGAUCUAGUCAUGCCAACUCUUUGAAAGCAGCUCUCCAAAUGAUUUCUUCUCCAAUAAGGGUAACCAUUGCCCAAUUAUAUGGUUCUCCAGUUACAAGUACAUUAGAGGAACUGGCACAGGAGGAUAGGAAGAUUUCUGCUAAUGAUGGUCAGUGUUUUCAAACUACAUAAAACCUUGAGUAAUAGUUGAAUGGAGACCCAUUUACCAGUUAACUUGGCUAAUUGUACUAACUGCCAAGUAAAUGGGGAUACUGUAGCCCUGCAACCAGACAUCACAAACAGCAGAAUCAUCUAUUCUUUGGUCAAGUAAUAUUGGACUUUAUUUGAAAAAGAGGUAACACUCAGAGAGAUAUCUUGCUAUCUGCUGUUACUGCCCUGG
rnacentral:lncRNA from 1 species